rnacentral:rRNA from 1 species
AUUGAACGCUGGCGGCAUGCCUUACACAUGCAAGUCGAACGGCAGCACGGACUUCGGUCUGGUGGCGAGUGGCGAACGGGUGAGUAAUGCAUCGGAACGUACCCGGUAGUGGGGGAUAACUACCCGAAAGGGCGGCUAAUACCGCAUAUACUGUGCGCAGGAAAGCAGGGGACCUUCGGGCCUCGUGCUACCGGAGCGGCCGAUGUCAGAUUAGGUAGUUGGUGGGGUAACGGCCUACCAAGCCUGCGAUCUGUAGCGGGUCUGAGAGGAUGAUCCGCCACACUGGGACUGAGACACGGCCCAGACUCCUACGGGAGGCAGCAGUGGGGAAUUUUGGACAAUGGGCGCAAGCCUGAUCCAGCCAUGCCGCGUGAGUGAAGAAGGCCUGGGUUGUAAAGCUCUUUCGGACGGAAAGAAAUCGUGCAGGCUAAUACCCUGCGCGGAUGACGGUACCGUCAUAAGAAGCACCGGCUAACUACGUGCCAGCCGCCGCAGUAA